rnacentral:rRNA from 1 species
AAGGAAGAUAAUGACGGUACUUGAGGAGGAAGCCCCGGCUAACUACGUGCCAGCAGCCGCGGUAAUACGUAGGGGGCUAGCGUUAUCCGGAUUUACUGGGCGUAAAGGGUGCGUAGGCGGUCUUUCAAGUCAGGAGGGAAAGGCUACGGCUCAACCGUAGUAAGCUCUUGAAACUGGGAGACUUGAGUGCAGGAGAGGAGA